CAGCCGCCGCGGGAAUACCGAGGGUGCAAGCGUUAAUCGGAAUUACUGGGCGUAAAGCGCGCGUAGGUGGUUCGCCAAGUUGGAUGUGAAAUCCCCGGGCUCAACCUGGGAACUGCAUCCAAAACUGGCGAGCUAGAGUAUGGUAGAGGGUGGUGGAAUUUCCUGUGUAGCGGUGAAAUGCGUAGAUAUAGGAAGUAACAUCAGUGGCGAAGGCGACCACCUGGACUGAUACUGACACUGAGGUGCGAAAGCGUGGGGAGCAAACAGGAUUAGAUACCCCAGUAGUCCCUGUCUCUUAUAC
rnacentral:rRNA from 1 species